rnacentral:rRNA from 1 species
CCGGCUCAACCCGGGGAGGGUCAUUGGAAACUGGGAAACUUGAGUGCAGAAGAGGAGAGUGGAAUUCCACGUGUAGCGGUGAAAUGCGUAGAGAUGUGGAGGAACACCAGUGGCGAAGGCGACUCUCUGGUCUGUAACUGACGCUGAGGAGCGAAAGCGUGGGGAGCGAACAGGAUUAGAUACCCUGGUAGUCCACGCCGUAAACGAUGAGUGCUAAGUGUUAGGGGGUUUCCGCCCCUUAGUGCUGCAGCUAACGCAUUAAGCACUCCGCCUGGGGAGUACGGUCGCAAGACUGAAACUCAAAGGAAUUGACGGGGGCCCGCACAAGCCCUGGAGCAUGUGGUUUAAUUCGAAGCAACGCGAAGAACCUUACCAGGUCUUGACAUCCUCUGACAACCCUAGAGAUAGGGCUUUCCCUUCGGGGACAGAGUGACAGGUGGUGCAUGGUUGUCGUCAGCUCGUGUCGUGAGAUGUUGGGUUAAGUCCCGCAACGAGCGCAACCCUUGAUCUUAGUUGCCAGCAUUUAGUUGGGCACUCUAAGGUGACUGCCGGUGACAAACCGGAGGAAGGUGGGGAUGACGUCAAAUCAUCAUGCCCCUUAUGACCUGGGCUACACACGUGCUACAAUGGACAGAACAAAGGGCUGCAAGACCGCAAGGUUUAGCCAAUCCCAUAAAUCUGUUCUCAGUUCGGAUCGCAGUCUGCAACUCGACUGCGUGAAGCUGGAAUCGCUAGUAAUCGCGGAUCAGCAUGCCGCGGUGAAUACGUUCCCGGGCCUUGUACACACCGCCCGUCACACCACGAGAGUUUGCAACACCCGAAGUCGGUGAGGUUAACCUUUAUGGAGCCA